AGAACGAACGCUGGCGGCAGGCUUAACACAUGCAAGUCGAACGGUUGUAGCAAUACAGCAGUGGCAGACGGGUGAGUAACACGUGGGAACCUUCCUAGGGGUACGGAACAACUCAGGGAAACUUGAGCUAAUACCGUAUACGUCCGUGAGGAGAAAGAUUUAUCGCCCCUAGACGGGCCCGCGUAGGAUUAGGUAGUUGGUGAGGUAACGGCUCACCAAGCCUACGAUCCUUAGCUGAUCUGAGAGGAUGAUCAGCCACACUGGGACUGAGACACGGCCCAGACUCCUACGGGAGGCAGCAGUGGGGAAUCUUGGACAAUGGGCGCAAGCCUGAUCCAGCCAUGCCGCGUGAGUGAAGAAGGCCCUUCGGGUCGUAAAGCUCUUUUACCAGGGACGAUAAUGACGGUACCUGGAGAAUAAGCCCGGCAAACUUCGUGCCAGCAGCCGC
rnacentral:rRNA from 1 species